GUGCUCACUUUGGCAGCAUGUGUACUAAAACUGGAACUAUACAGAGAAGAUUAGCAUGGCCCCUGUGCAAGGAUGACACACAAAUUCAUGAAGUAUUCCAUAUUUUA
rfam:Tyto alba contig158502, whole genome shotgun sequence.